GAGCUUGAUCUUGAAAUCAAAUCGGAUAGUGAUUGAAAACGAAGAAGGCAUAUGAGGAGUUCGACGUUGAAGUGGCGAUGGUAUCAAAAAAUUUGUAAGUAGAAAAUUCAUGGUGUAAUCGUUAGUAAACAAAGUUAUGAGAGAAAAUAUAAUUCAGUGAUGAAGAAAUACAAUUACAGAAGAAAGAGAGGAGAGGAGAGAGAGAAGAGAGAGAGCUAUGAGAGUAGGAUAAUAAGAUAUUAGUGGGAUUUUGAAAAAAUCAAUAGUUCUUGAGGUAUUUACCUAAUUAUGGUUGAAUCUAUGUACAUGACUCCUAAUUUAUCUAGAAUAUUUCAUUCUUAUUGGUUCAAUCCCCAUUCUCACAGUAGCUAUAGAUUAGUAUACUAAAAAUUGAAAGAUUAUUUUUUUCAUUUAUAAGAAACUAGUAAAUAAUAAAAUUGGUAGCUAAUGCGUCGCCAAUCAAUUUUAGCUUCAAAUUGAAUGUUUCAACGUUACUUAUAUAUAUGGCUGUGGUUAAUGAUAUUUUAAAUGGUGAUAUAUUAGUAUUAAGAAAUAAAACGAAAUAUUUUUUUAAUAUAAACAUUUUAAGAUUGAAAGAAUAUAAAAUUAAUCAGUCAAUUUAAUAUCAGCUUUUUUCGGAUCAUCAUACAAAAAGUUUCAAAAACUUAUAUAUAUGUUCACUAACAAGAUUUCUACAACACAAACUAACAAAACGUUUAGUUUUAAAGAAAAAUCACAAUGUCAACAUCUAAAUUUGCUUUCUUUUGCAUCGUCUUGGUUUUUUUUGCUACUUUUCAUGAAUGUGUCAACAAAGUUGAUGCAGCUGCACUAACAUGCACUAGAUUACCAAAUUCUAAUUGGUGCUGCAACACAACACCGAGAAGGUGCCGCGGCAGCAAAGUGGAGUGUGACGCGAUUUGUAAACCCAAACGCCUCUGAAUUUUUCAGAAGAGAAUUUCUAUACUUAUAUAUUCUAAAUUUUCUUUUACCUCUAUUAUUAUUAUUACUGAAAAUAAUAAAUAGGAAGUCAUGUUCUAGAGGAGCAUCUAGUGUUGGGUUUUCUUCGAAGAGCUGAAAUUGUUUUUAUUUUUAAUUCCGACUUUCUGCAAUUGUAUUUAAUAAGUUUAUAAUUUCAGAUAUAAUAAUUUGAAUCGAUUAA